rnacentral:snoRNA from 1 species
GCACAAUGUAUCUCCAGAAAUCAGAAAUGUCUGUGCUUUGGUCGCAUUUGAAGUGUGCAAAAUUAAAAAUUAAAUACUACUUACUAAGCAUCGUUAGGCGACACGACGUUUGUUACUGUGGCCUUGGUAUUAUUAAAGUAGUACA